rnacentral:tRNA from 1 species
GGGCGUGUAGCUCAGUGGCAGAGCGCUACCCUCACGAGGUAGAGGUCGGAGGUUCAAUUCCUCCCACGCCCAC